rnacentral:lncRNA from 1 species
CAAAAACAAGGGCAAUGGACAAUUCCAAAGAAGUCCCUAUUGGAAUGAGUACCGGUUGUUCCCUUCUCACCGCAAAAGGAUGAAACACAGCAUGCUGUAGCGGUAAGAGGUGAUGGUGAAGUAGCCAGCCCAGAACCUAUCAAUAAAUGGAAACUUUGCGUUAAAUAAGCUGACCCAACAAUCAAAGUUUUCCAAAACUGGUAACCUGUCAAACCAGAACCACCAUCACCACCACCGUCUCUUUCCUGCAGUACAACCCAAACCAUCACAUUAUGCUUUGUCACUGUCUCUUGGGGUAGUUGGACCUACUAUACGGAAAACUUACCCUUGAUUUUACCCUUCUUUAAUUAAUUUCCUAUUUACCCUCGGCCCCCCUUCAGCUCUUUUCUUAUUUGUUCCUCUUUGUAGUAAGAUGUUUUUUUUGGUUAUAGGGUUUCAG